rnacentral:sRNA from 1 species
GUUCAGUGUUCUACAAAUAGUGCUUAUAUAGAAGAAUUACAUGUAGAUUGAAUAUGGUUAUUGCAUUAAAGACUGGCUUAUACAGAAAUUAACAAUUUUAUGUAUUAUUCAUUUGUACCAGUUUUAUCCAUUCCCCAAGUCCCAGAGAAAGGUAUUCCGUAAUGGAUUUUUGUGAUUGUUUAAUAGUGAUGUCGCUUUUGCUCUAAGGUUUGAUAGAAAGAGAGGAUAUGAUUUUUUAUUUUUUGACGUAGGAAAAAAAAUUUAAGUUUUGUUUCAUUAAGUUACUUAUUUAGGCAGGUUCUACUUGAGCUACUGAAAAUACACUGAUGGUAUAUACUUUUCUGUUUAAGAGAUGUUUUACCUGCAUUUGGUUUAAGCUGCUGUCAUCAAUUAAUGAUAAUUGUACAUUAAUAAUAAAAAUACAACAAUG